rnacentral:rRNA from 1 species
UAGGGAAUCUUCGGCAAUGGGAGGAACCCUGACCGAGCAACGCCGCGUGAGUGAAGAAGGUUUUCGGAUCGUAAAGCUCUGUUGUUAAGGAAGAACGAGUGUGAGAAUGGAAAGUUCAUACUGUGACGGUACUUAACCAGAAAGGGACGGCUAACUACGUGCCAGCAGCCGCGGUAAUACGUAGGUCCCGAGCGUUGUCCGGAUUUAUUGGGCGUAAAGCGAGCGCAGGCGGUUAGAUAAGUCUGAAGUUAAAGGCAGUGGCUCAACCAUUGUAGGCUUUGGAAACUGUUUAACUUGAGUGCAGAAGGGGAGAGUGGAAUUCCAUGUGUAGCGGUGAAAUGCGUAGAUAUAUGGAGGAACACCGGUGGCGAAAGCGGCUCUCUGGUCUGUAACUGACGCUGAGGCUCGAAAGCGUGGGGAGCGAACAGG